GAGUAUAGAAGAAAAAGAGGGAGAAUAGAAGUGAGAAUGAAAGUGGAGAUGAGAUUGAGAGGGAAGAUGUAAGGGGAGGAUGGGAGGGAAGAGUAACAAAAGUGAAAAUAAGAACUAAAAACUGAAAUCUAUUUAGUUCUUGUUUUCACUUUUAUUACUCCUCCCUCCUAUCCUCCCCUUUUAUCCUCUCUCUCAAUCUCAUCCUCACUCUUAUUUUCCUCUAUACUAU
rnacentral:snoRNA from 1 species